GACGGAGGGGGCUAGCGUUGUUCGGAAUUACUGGGCGUAAAGGGCUCGUAGGCGGCCAACUAAGUCGGAUGUGAAAUCCCCAGGCUUAACCUGGGAACUGCAUCCGAUACUGGAUGGCUUGAAUCCGGGAGAGGGAUGCGGAAUUCCAGGUGUAGCGGUGAAAUGCGUAGAUAUCUGGAGGAACACCGGUGGCGAAGGCGGCAUCCUGGACCGGCAUUGACGCUGAGGAGCGAAAGCCAGGGGAGCAAACGGG
rnacentral:rRNA from 1 species